UCGGAGCAGCAGGCGUCCGAGGAAGCGGCCCAGGUCCGGAAGG
rnacentral:SRP_RNA from 1 species